GCUGGGCGUGGUGGUGCACGCCUGUAAUCCCAGCUACUCAGGAGGCUGAGGCAGGAGAAUCACUUGAACCUGGGAGGCAGAGGUUGCAGUGAGCCGAGAUUGUGCCACUGCACUCCAGCCUGGGCGACAGAGUGAGACUCUGUCUCAA
rnacentral:SRP_RNA from 1 species